GGGCUAAAGGAAAGAAGAGCUGGCGCAUGUAAGGUAUUGCAGUUCCCAGGUCUCUAACAGAUCCAGGGCAUCCGUAUACACUGAUGGUCUGGAAUAAGAUAUCUGAAGCACAGUGGCACAUGAAAAGAAAGAAAUGGAAAGAUUACAUACUCUGUCGUAUUUGAGGGAAUUUUGGAUACAGAAAUAUCAGUAUCUUUCUGAUGCUUGAAAAUAUAUCAUGAAAAAUGUGAACAUAGACUGAAAAAGUAGCCAGAGGAGCACAUCGUGAAAGGGAAGACUAUAUUCCAGGGAGUGAAAGAGAAGUACAGCAAGACAUGAACGAAGAGAAUCCAAUCUCUCAGUUGCCAGUAUAAAAUGCUAGGGAUCAAGCAUAGAACAUGCACUGAGCUAAGAAGUCAGAGGGAAAGCACUCAGGAGAAAA